rnacentral:rRNA from 1 species
CUAAUACCGCAUAAUACCUACGGGUCAAAGGAGCAAUUCGCUUCAGGAGGGGGUCGCGGCCGAUUACUUAGUUGGCGGGGUAAUGGCCCACCAAGACAGUGAUCGGUAUCCGGCCUGAUGUAGGGCGCACGGACACACUGGAACUGAAACACGGUCCAGACUCCUACGGGAGGCAGCAGUGGGGAAUUUUGCGCAAUGGGGGAAACCCUGACGCAGCAACGCCGCGUGGAGGAUGAAGUCCUUCGGGACGUAAACUCCUUUCGAUCGGGACGAUAAUGACGGUACCGGAAGAAGAAGCCCCGGCUAACUUCGUGCCAGCAGCCGCGGUAAUACGAGGGGGGCGAGCGUUGUUCGGAAUUAUUGGGCGUAAAGGGUGCGUAGGCGGUUUGGUAAGUCUUAUGUGAAAUCUAUGGGCUCAACUCAUAGACUGCAUGAGAAACUGCCGGGCUUGAGUAUGGGAGAGGUGAGUGGAAUUCCUGGUGUAGCGGUGAAAUGCGUAGAUAUCAGGAGGAACACCUGUGGCGAAAGCGGCUCACUGGACCAUAACUGACGCUGAUGCACGAAGGCUAGGGGAGC